CACGUAGUUAACCGUCCCUUUCUGGUAAGAUACCGUCACAGUGUGAACUUUCCACUCUCACACUCGUUCUUCUCUUACAACAGAGCUUUACGAUCCGAAAACCUUCUUCACUCACGCGGCGUUGCUCGGUCAGACUUCCGUCCAUUGCCGAAGAUUCCCUACUGCUGCCCUCCCGUAGGAGUCUGGGCCGUGUCUCACGUCCCAGUGUCGGCCGAUCCACCCUCUCAGGUCGGCUAUGUAUCGUCGCCUUGGUGAGCCGUUACCCCACCAACUAGCUAAUACAACGCAGGUCCAUCUGGUAGUGAUGCAAUUGCUACCUUUUAAGCAAAUGUCAUGCAACAUCUACUCUUAUGCGGUAUUAGCUAUCGUUUCCAAUUAGUUACUCCCCCGCUACCAGGCUAGGUUACCUACGCGUUACUCCACCCGUUCGCAACUCAUCCGGAGAAGCAAGCCUCCUCCUCAGUCGUUCUACU
rnacentral:rRNA from 1 species